UUGGUGAGGACACGGAAGCAACAUCAUGGAGAUCUUCAGUGUUAGCCAUUCGGGUGUCAAUCCAUUGUUGUAACCAGUAUCUCCAUCUUCCAUCAACUUUGUUUAGCUCCAGUUCCGCUGACCUCUGCAAUUUUUAAGGUGGAGGAGUAUUGCAUUCAGCUUUGAUGGCAUCGAACUCUUGUAAUUCCUCUUUGCUCCGUUGAGGAGAUUGAACAAGAACAGAAAGCCGUGGAGCUGAAAUCACGACAUGAGGGUUGAUAAACAGUCUUCCAGAUAUCCAUUUCCUUCUCUUCUGCCCCUGACAUAAUUAUAACAAUGAUUAUAUGUACAAUCAAAAGGAUCAUAACUUUUCAUGAAGCUAACUAAACAUCAUGGUGGUAUGAAAGCUUUCUAUAGAAAAGAAAAUGCUUACUGGGAAUGGUCUCUUGAUAUUUGAAAAUAUCGCACAUUGACAUUGAAUAGCACUUAUUGUGAUGUAUAUGGGAAAAACUUGUCUUACUUGAGAAUCUUCAUUUCCAAUAUCCUGAAGAGAUUUUCUCCAGGUGAGAACGAUAGAUUGACAAUGCUUCUGAAGUGUUUCAGUGGUUAUAAAAAGUGGCUGGUAUGUAUUCCUUUUAUUCCAAAGAACCUAACUCCAGUUAGUAUAUAUAUAAUGUGAUGAAGCAUAAAUCAUAAAAUUGAAAUCUUAAGGCCAUCGUUUUCUUUUGCAAGACUAUUAUGAUUUCUCAUCUUUUACAUGAUGCAUAUAAAAAAUUGAGCAUGUGGGUCUGGAGACAAAUACUGGAUAUGAAAAGAAAUGGCUCAUCUUUGUGGAGGGAGUUCUCAGUUGUCAUGUAUGGGACCUGUUACAUGUUCAUAUGUCUGUGAUAACAUGAGGGGCAGUCCACUUAUAGAGUACAAUGGACAAUUCUACCCGGCACUACCAUUAUCAAUGCUCAUUGUUGGUGUGCUUGCGCGUCUCUGCGGCCUGGAUUAUGAACACUGGAACAGCACAGAUACCGAAUAUCGGAAUAUACAAACCUGAUGCAUAUACAUUGUAAGUAGUUUUUCUGACAGCUAAAGGUUUUUGGCACAUUGCACGUUUCGACAUUCUGGUAGAACUGUGAAAUAAAAGGGUGCAAUUUAUUAUUUGCUCGUGUUGCACAUGGAACCUUCAAGUUUGGCUUAUCAAUGUUCGCCACUUAGCCUUCGCCCUUCGGAACCACUAAAAGCAAGUCUAACAAUGUCAUGCUAAUUGCUUUUAUAACUUAUAAGUAUAAUAAACCAUAGUGUUGAGGUAGUGAUUUAAAACAUUAUUUUGAUGUAUGAACUCCAACAACAUGUCUUAUAAUUAUGUUUUAUUAUUAAAAUAAUAAUAUAUAUGACUUGGUA